CUAGGUCCAGGAGAUAUACUCGUAUAGUUCAUUUCACAUAAAUUGUAAGAUGUGAAAUCUGUUGUAAUGUUUUUAAUUGUGUGUAACUGCCUUAAUGUUUGCUGGACCCCAGGAAGAGUUGCUGCUAACUUGUGAGAGCGAGACAGAAACUGAGAGGUGGCUAUCUAUUGGAGGUAGGCGGAGACUUAGGAGACUGCCCUGGUGAAUAUGGAGGUAGGUGGAGACUUAGGAGACUGCCCUGGUGAAUAUGGAGGUAGGUGGAGACUUAGGAGACUGCCCUGGUGAAUAUGGAGAUAGGUGGAGACUGCCCUGGUGAAUAUGGAGGUAGGUGGAGACUUAGGAGAGUGCCCCGGUGAAUACUGAGGUAGGAGGAGACUUAGGAGACUGCCCUGGUGAAUAUGGAGGUAGGCGGAGACUUAGGAGACUGCCCUGGUGAAUAUGGAGGUAGGUGGAGACUGCCCUGGUGAAUAUGGAGGUAGGUGGAGACUGCCCUGGUGAAUAUGGAGGUAGGUGGAGACUGCCCUGGUGAAUAUGGAGGUAGGUGGAGACUGCCCUGGUGAAUAUGGAGGUAGGUGGAGACUGCCCUGGUGAAUAUGGAGGUAGGUGGAGACUGCCCUGGUGAAUAUGGAGGUAGGUGGAGACUUAGGAGAGUGCCCCGGUGAAUACUGAGGUAGGAGGAGACUUAGGAGACUGCCCUGGUGAAUAUGGAGGUAGGUGGAGACUUAGGAGACUGCCCUGGUGAAUAUGAGGCUAGGUGGAGACUUAGGAGACUGCCCUGGUGAAUAUGGAGGUAGGUGGAGACUUAGGAGACUGCCCUGGUGAAUAUGGAGGUAGGUGGAGACUUAGGAGACUGCCCUGGUGAAUAUGGAGGUAGGCGGAGACUUAGGAGACUGCCCUGGUGAAUAUGGUGAUUGCCAAUAAUGCCAUCCGUUUGAGUGAAAUUCAAACUCAAAUAGUUGAAGACCAGGUAGUCUUCCAAGGGAUUGACAGCAUCAGCAAUUUCCACCAUUGACCAGAUCGUUCAGAAGAACCAGAUAAGGACAAAGCAUUUGUUCCUUGUGCCUUUUGAAAGGAAUUCAGAGUUAAGGAGCAACGAUUCCAAUAUGUGCAGGUAGUUGCUAUACUGUACAGAACUUUUACAGUAUGUAGAGUAUGGCCCAUCUCUCCAGAAUAUCAAUACAGAACUGUAUAGUAAUGUGAUACAGUAACUGCAGUACACAAUCUUUCCUUCCAUUACAGUAGUACAGUACUGUAUUUGUAGUACAGUAAAAUGUUUGUGUUUUUACUUUUGUAUUGAAUCUUUGAGCUGGAUGCCAUAGCUGACCCGCAGGAGUACAUCGUCGUCAACGAGGCAGGGUUCAACCUAACAAAAAGGCGCAAAAGGGGAUGGAACAUCAUUGGUCACCGUGCCGUCACACAAGUUCCUGGCCAGAGGGGAGGAACGUCAUUGGUCACCGUGCCAGAGGGGAGGAACGUCAUUGGUCACCGUGCCAGAGGGGAGGAACGUCAUUGGUCACCGUGCCAGAGGGGAGGAACGUCAUUGGUAACCGUGCCAGAGGGAGGAACGUCAUUGGUCACCGUGCCAGAGGGGAGGAACGUCAUUGGUCACCGUGCCAGAGGGGAGGAAUGUCAUUGGUCACCGUGCCAGAGGGGAGGAACGUCACCCUAUGUGCAGCCAUCAGCAAUCGCAUCGUCCUCCACCGCCAUGUCAAAGUGGGUCCAACACGGCACAACUCCUUCCACUUUUAGAUCUUCUGCACAAUAACAUUCUUCAACAGAAAGGGGAGCAACCAGAACCAAUAAGUUGUCAUUUGGGCUGCUCUGAUUCGCUCCUGGUUCAAUGACCACCCCAGGUUCACCGGUUCACCGUCCAAGACAGACCACCUACGCUGCCUGGCAAGAGCAAACAUAAUGGGUGACGUUGAUGAGAUAUCAUGUUCUGACCCAGACCUGAGACGAGAUGACGAGAACACUGAUGCUGAGUAACCUGUACAUUUAAUGCAUUUGGAAAUAAAGCUUUUUGAAAUAGGGUAUUUUACUGUGCCUGGAGACUUCCUUACAUGUUUGGUCAGUGUGACAUUUCAAAGGUCAGGUUUUUGACCAAAAAAACAUAUACAGUAGUAUUCCCUUAUCCACUAA